rnacentral:rRNA from 1 species
UACGAAGGGGGCAAGCGUUACUCGGAAUUAUUGGGCGUAAAGCGUACGUAGGCGGACUUAUAAGUUGCAAGUGAAAGCCUUUGGCUCAACCAAAGAAUUGCUUGCAAAACUGUAAGUCUAGAGUCCUAGAGAGGACAGGGGAAUUCCUGGUGUAGGGGUGAAAUCCGUAGAUAUUAGGAGGAAGGUCAAAUGCGAAGGCAUCUGUCUGGAUAGGUACUGACGCUGAGGUACGAAGGCGUGGGGAGCAAACAGG